rnacentral:rRNA from 1 species
AAUAGAUACCCCGGUAGUCCACGCCGUAAACGAUGAGUGCUAAGUGUUAGAGGGUUUCCGCCCUUUAGUGCUGCAGCAAACGCAUUAAGCACUCCGCCUGGGGAGUACGGCCGCAAGGCUGAAACUCAAAGGAAUUGACGGGGGCCCGCACAAGCGGUGGAGCAUGUGGUUUAAUUCGAAGCAACGCGAAGAACCUUACCAGGUCUUGACAUCUCCUGACAACCCUAGAGAUAGGGCGUUCCCCUUCGGGGGACAGGAUGACAGGUGGUGCAUGGUUGUCGUCAGCUCGUGUCGUGAGAUGUUGGGUUAAGUCCCGCAACGAGCGCAACCCUUGAUCUUAGUUGCCAGCAUUCAGUUGGGCACUCUAAGGUGACUGCCGGUGACAAACCGGAGGAAGGUGGGGAUGACGUCAAAUCAUCAUGCCCCUUAUGACCUGGGCUACACACGUGCUACAAUGGAUGGUACAAAGGGCUGCGAGACCGCGAGGUUAAGCGAACUCCCAUAAAACCAUUCUCAGUUCGGAUUGCAGG